rnacentral:rRNA from 1 species
GAUGAACGCUGGCGGCGUGCCUAAUACAUGCAAGUCGAGCGAUGAAGCGUGGUGCUUGCUCCUCUUUGAUGAGCAGCGGACGGGUGAGUAACGCGUGGGGAACCUGCCUUUGAGAGGGGGACAACUUUUGGAAACGAUAGCUAAUACCGCAUAACAACUUUAAACAUAAGGUUUAAGAGUGAAAGAUGCAAUUGCAUCACUCAAUGAUUAUCUCGCCUUGUAUUUGCAUGUUGGGGAGGUAAAGGCCCUCCAAGGCGAUGGAACAUAGCCGAACUGCGAGGGUGAACCGCCACCAUGGGACUGAGACCCGGCCCAAACUCCCUCGGGCAGCAGCAGGAAGGGAUCCUCCGCCAUCGGCGGAAAGCUGACCGAGCCACGCCGCAGGGGUGAAUAAGGUUGUCGGAUCGGAAAAAUCCGUUUGUGGGGAAAAACGUUGUUUGGAGUUGAAAGAUCAGAAAGUGACGGUACCUACCCAGAAAGCCACGGCUAACUACGUG